CAUGAGCAACCACGCCCGCCUCACAGAUUCUUAAAAUUUAUAAGUUACUAUGGCACAUACAUCUACAGUAAAUAGGUUAAUUAAUAUAAUCAAGGUAAAAACUAUGUUGAAUUAGCCACUGCCCAAAUUAUCUUGAAAUGCCUGAAUAUAUUACAUCUUGAUGGCAGUUUCCCACAUGUGACAAUACAGUCAUAUCCACAGACUCAAUUAGCCACAGAUUGAAAAUAUUUAAAAAAUUAAAAUGCAAUAAUUUAAAAAGUACAAAUAAAACCAUGCAGUAUAACAACUAAUUACAGAAAACUUGCAUAGUAUUAGGUAUUAUAAUUUAUCUAGAGUUAAAGUAUAUAGGAGAAUAUACAUAGGUAAUAUGUAAAU
rnacentral:lncRNA from 1 species